CUGAGAGGAUGACCAGCCACACUGGAACUGAGACACGGUCCAGACUCCUACGGGAGGCAGCAGUGGGGAAUAUUGCACAAUGGGCGCAAGCCUGAUGCAGCCAUGCCGCGUGUAUGAAGAAGGCCUUCGGGUUGUAAAGUACUUUCAGCGGGGAGGAAGGGAGUAAAGUUAAUACCUUUGCUCAUUGACGUUACCCGCAGAAGAAGCACCGGCUAACUCCGUGCCAGCAGCCGCGGUAAUACGGAGGGUGCAAGCGUUAAUCGGAAUUACUGGGCGUAAAGCGCACGCAGGCGGUUUGUUAAGUCAGAUGUGAAAUCCCCGGGCUCAACCUGGGAACUGCAUCUGAUACUGGCAAGCUUGAGUCUCGUAGAGGGGGGUAGAAUUCCAGGUGUAGCGGUGAAAUGCGUAGAGAUCUGGAGGAAUACCGGUGGCGAAGGCGGCCCCCUGGACGAAGACUGACGCUCAGGUGCGAAAGCGUGGGGAGCAAACAGGAUUAGAUACC
rnacentral:rRNA from 1 species